rnacentral:lncRNA from 1 species
AAGAUAAGAGUACGCACCCUUUUUUUUUUCUUAUAGCUACUGUGAAGUUACAGUCGCAAUAGUAAGAUGACAAGAAGUUCAAGACAAGAUAAAGGACCUUGGUGUGAUUGGACACUGAGAGGUUCCUUAUUCUGCAAACCUCUAAGUAAGCUAAGCUACUUCAACUGGGCCAAAAGAGAUAACCAAGGAGGGAAAGUCUACCAUGUCAUGAAAGAUGGAAGAAUCAUUUGAAGAACAAGAACGAGGGGGCAAACAGUGAAAGGACCAGAAGAUGAUGGCAAGAGAGGCUGUUUUUCCAUCAUGAGUACAACUGAGAAAUAAAGGUGAGUGUAUUUCUAUUGCA